rnacentral:rRNA from 1 species
GGCUCAGGAUGAACGCUGGCGGUCUGCUUAACACAUGCAAGUCGAACGGGAUGCUUUCGGGCAUCUAGUGGCGGACGGGUGAGAACGCGUGAGAAUCUGCCCUCAGGAUGGGGACAACGACUGGAAACGGUCGCUAAUACCCAAUGUGCCGAGAGGUGAAACUUAUAUGGCCUGAGGAUGAGCUCGCGUCUGAUUAGCUAGUUGGUAGUGUAAUGGACUACCAAGGCGACGAUCAGUAGCUGGUCUGAGAGGAUGAUCAGCCACACUGGGACUGAGACACGGCCCAGACUCCUACGGGAGGCAGCAGUGGGGAAUUUUCCGCAAUGGGCGAAAGCCUGACGGAGCAAGACCGCGUGAGGGAGGAAGGCCUACUGGUUGUAAACCUCUUUUGAUAGGGAAGAACACAAUGACGGUACCUAUCGAAUCAGCAUCGGCUAACUCCGUGCCAGCAGCCGCGGUAAUACGGAGGAUGCAAGCGUUAUCCGGAAUUAUUGGGCGUAAAGCGUCCGUAGGUGGUUAGCCAAGUCAGUUGUUAAAGCGUAGAGCUUAACUCUAUAAGGGCAAUUGAAACUGGUUAGCUAGAGUGCGAUAGGGGCAAGGGGAAUUCCCAGUGUAGCGGUGAAAUGCGUAGAUAUUGGGAAGAACAUCGGUGGCGAAAGCGCCUUGCUGGGUCUGCACUGACACUGAGGGACGAAAGCUAGGGGAGCGAAAGGGAUUAGAUACCCCUGUAGUCCUAGCUGUAAACGAUGGGUACUAGGCGUUGUCCGUAUCGACCCGGGCAGUGCCGUAGCUAACGCGUUAAGUACCCCGCCUGGGGAGUACGCUCGCAA